rnacentral:pre_miRNA from 1 species
UUUUUACUCCAUCCGUCCCAAAAUUUUUGUCUUAGAUUCGUCUAGAUACGGAUGUAUCUAAUACUUGAUACAUCCGUAUCUAGAUGAAUCUAAGACAAAAUUUUUGGGACAGAGGGAGUAGAUU